rnacentral:rRNA from 1 species
UACGGAGGGGGCCAGCGUUGUUCGGAAUUAUUGGGCGUAAAGGGCGCGUAGGCGGCCGGAUAAGUCUGACGUGAAAUCCCUCGGCCCAACCGGGGAACUGCGUUUGAAACUGUUCGGCUUGAGUCCGGGAGAGGGUAGUGGAAUUCCCAGUGUAGCGGUGAAAUGCGUAGAUAUUGGGAGGAACACCGGUGGCGAAGGCGGCUACCUGGACCGGUACUGACGCUGAGGCGCGAAAGCCAGGGGAGCAAACAGG